AGGAGGGCUCGCCGCUCUCUGACCCUCGACGCUGCUCAUUUUCAAAGAAAUGGAAGAAGUUUAACUAAGAGAAAGGUCAAAACCCUUACCGAAAUGCGAUCGGUGUCGGAAGAACUUGAAGAAAUGACAGAAUUUUGGAAUCGCUCUCGGAGUGCUGAAAAUAACAUAAAGGAGCAACUGACUGACCCUUCCCCCAUUUAUACUCGUCUGAGCAUUCAAUGCUCACAGUGUCCCAAGCGACGCAUCGGUUAGCAGAACCGGCUGCUUCCUCGACACGUCGCAAGUAGGUUCUAGAAACAUAAUAAAAAUCAAAUAAAUGAGAUCAGUUAGCUGAGGUCUUCGGAUUGAACAAACUUC
rnacentral:misc_RNA from 1 species